rnacentral:misc_RNA from 1 species
GAGAUAUUGAGGUACAUACAAUGCCUGAACUCCACUUACUUUCCAAGGCACUUGAUGAAUGGCCUAAGCUUAGACACAAAGAUGAACCAAUUUGCUGAUCAACAGAUCCACGAAUCAAGCUCCAAUUGUGUUUUAUUUCCUUUGUAGCAGGGAAUAAAGGCAUUAAGGACCCAACGGAAUCAAGUUGCAGGGUGGUAUUAGCACAAUCGGCACCUUCAGCUUCAGCUUCGUUUACUCGGAUAGA